AACGCCCGGUCCCAUUCCGAACCCGGAAGCUAAGACCCACAGCGCCGAUGGUACUGCACCCGGGAGGGUGUGGGAGAGUAGGUCACCGCCGGAC
rnacentral:rRNA from 6 species